AAAUAAAUACAUAGCAGACUUUUCUUCGAUUGUUGUCACAAUUUUAAAAUUAGGUUUGUUAGAAAAUUUAAGUUUUCCACAUUUAUACACAUAUACACAAUGUCGCGGCAACAGAAGUCACGCAUUUUUCCGAGGGACGUCAAUGAUUGCAUGGCGGGUAUGAAAUCAGAAACACAAGAUGCCUUGGAGAGCGGUGCAAAGCAACAUUCGUCUAUACCAAGGACUACAGCCGGUCAUCCCACAGUUCCAAAUUGCGACAAUGUAUCGCCGAAAAGGACAUACCCGACCCGGAUUUCUGCCGCCGACCAGUCAACCCAUUUUACAGCUUAUCCUCGAGCCAAUUCAAAUUCAUGGAUGAUCACCACUCGAAAGAUCUAGAAACCGAGUAUCGCAAAAAAAUCAACUUCUUCAGGCAACUAAGGCAUCAAUCUCAAAUUUUCACGGAUUAAUAGAGAUUAGAAUAGAGAUUUAGAUCUCUUUAUCUCUAAAUCAAACAGUAUUCAAUAUUCAAUGUAUUAGCCAUUAUCCAGCAACAGCCCAACCAAACUGGCCCGGAUACGUGCUGUGCUGAAUACGUUUUGAUGUUCUGUCAGUUAUUCGUUUACAAAGUCUUUUUUCUAGUCAUUUGUUCUGUAGGUUAGAUUACAUAUGCAUUAUUUUUGUCUUGUCUAUUGCUUCUAUGCUGCCAUUCUAUCGCCUGCCUUAAGAGCUGCAUAACCGCAACGAUUAGGAGUGGAAUUCGGUGUAGUACUAAUCGUCCCGUUUAUGCAGCUGUAUUAGCCAUUAUCCAGCAACAACCCAACCAACUGGCCCAGAUUAAAAGUGUGUUGAAUACGUGUUGAUGUUCUGCCAGUUAUUCGUUUACAAAGUCUAUUUUCUAUUAUUAAUCAAAUUUUUUGGGCCGAAAAGGGGUGCUUUGGACUUAGGAAUUUAGAAAAAGAGUUGCGGAAAAUGAACCAAUAAUAAAAUGUAUGUACAUGUGGACCAGAAAAACAAGAGUUUGGUGUUCUAAUUCUGUGCAUUGGGUAAUUCGGUGUAAGUUUCUGUAUCUGUAUUAGCCAUUAUCCAGCAAGAACCCAA
rnacentral:misc_RNA from 1 species